ensembl:lncRNA HOXA-AS2 HOXA cluster antisense RNA 2
UCCAGAAAUUACCAGCCGCCGCCGCUGCGCCCUUUCUAGACAAAUCCCACAGCAGUUCACCCGGCUCCCCCAAAACCGCAGAGCUUUUCUUUACUGAGAGGACCCCUUGGUUCCACCAAUUCCCCCAAAUCCCCGUGGCUCCCGAUCUCUCAUCCAGGGGGACUAGAAGAAAAGAUUUUCUCAGCACUAGAAGAAUACUUGGAGCAGCAAAGGUGCCCGUGGUGUCUUUCUACCAUUCAAGGGGUGUCCUCCUGAAGGCGUCUGAGAGGGCCUCUGGCGGUUCCAAGGCUGUGCAGCCGGGGAGGAAGGUGAGGAAUAUCGUGGGUAAGAAGAGGCACCAAAAUCACAGAAUAGAGAGGAAAAUUAUUGAGGAAAUGUACUUGCCUGUGAGGGUGAAGCUGGCAUUUCGAGGUAGAAGGGGACUAGCCUUUUUUGAUAUCUAAUAGUUUAGCAUUAUACGUAAUGGACUCACUUUAGCACUUUCAUGGGAGGAAAAACCAAUCUGAGCUCUAUAAAUGUGGCUCUUGGCUUCUCACUGUGCAUGCUUUUAUGUAGAACCAGAGUCCAUCCUUAGAUAUUUAUUCAGCUUGCUGGCACUGAAGCAACAAUAAAAAGAUGCCUCUAACAAA